CUUUUUGGCGGCCGUGUGCGGGAGACAUUCGUGUCUGCCGAGUUGUCUCUGUCUCGGUUUCCAGCCUGCGCACGGCUGCCACCCAU
rnacentral:antisense_RNA from 1 species